rnacentral:rRNA from 1 species
GUAGGGGACGAGCGUUAUCCGGAUUUACUGGGCGUAAAGCGCCCGUAGGCGGCUCUAUAAGUUGGACGUGAAAGCUCCUGGCUUAACUGGGAGAGGCCGUUCAAAACUGUGGGGCUAGAGUGAGGCAGAGGAGCGCGGAAUUCCCGGUGUAGUGGUGGAAUGCGUAGAUAUCGGGAGGAACACCAGUGGCGAAAGCGGCGCUCUGGGCCUAAACUGACGCUGAGGGGCGAAAGCGUGGGGAGCGAACGGGAUUAGAUACCCCGGUAGUCCACGCCGUAAACGAUGGAGACUAGGUGUAGGCGGAUAGAACCCCGUCUGUGCCGAAGCCAACGCGUUAAGUCUCCCGCCUGGGGAGUACGGCCGCAAGGUUAAA